rnacentral:lncRNA from 1 species
ACUGUUUCAAUCCAUAAGAUAAGUACUAUUGGAAACAGUAUUGUUCUGCAGCAGCACUGUAGGCAUUAUUUACAACAUAGGGCGAAGUCUAACAAGCCAUAUCAAUUGCAUAUGAGGGAUUUUAAUGCCUAUGUGGAGUCAUGAUAGUGCUAUCUGAAACUUAAAUUAGUGUCACAUAAAUCCCAUCCCAAAUAUUUUUUUUAAAUUUAGGAACAGAAAAUUAAUCUGUGAUUAAAGCCAUACAGAUAAAUAUUCAAUGGCAUAUUAAGAUAUAUAAUGCAAAGGUUGGGACACUAUUUAAUAUUCAUGUUUCAAGUCCUUGUUGAUUUAUCAGAGCCAGGACAAACUGUAACUCUUGGUAGUUUCAGAACUCUCCAGUGUUAAGGCAGAACAAUAUGUUACAUGCUGCAUGCCAAGGCUGAUGAAUAUGUACAUGUAGCCUGAAUUAGCAGUGUACUUUAGAGAUUACAAAACACUGUAUUUCACAAACAAUGAACAAUAUGGGAGGUUUUGGUGAUGCUCUAAUUACAAAACUCUGUAGGCCAAUGUCCCAUAAUGUAACAACAGUUAUAUAUGAGAUUUGUAAUUGAUUUUGUUGGAAGGACUGAUAACAGUACUUGCAUACAAUGUGAAUUAAAGAAAACAAAUACUGUUCUAGUUGUUUUCUACCAUCUCAGAUUAACAUGAAGAUUUUUGUUGGAUACAGCACAUAACUGAUUCUCUAGAUCACGUAAACAUUUGUAUUAGCCAUAUACCAAUUUGUCAGGAGUAAGUUCAGAUUAUAGUUUCUAAGUAUAUGCUAUCAAGACAGGAGAGGGCAGAGACAGGAUAAAUGUAUUUUUGUCAUAGCAGCUUGUAAUGAUUUUAACAAUUUCUGUAGUAUUUUAUGUGCCUAAUCUAUUGAAUAAAUGACAGGACAAAUCUGCUUAUUUAAUUGUUUAGCACACUUAAGUAUUUUUAGCAUUUUGUAUAGGUACAAGACUGUCAGAAAUUGGUUAUAUGAUUUAUAUAUCAUUAGCAUGUCCUUUAAUUGAAAAUUGAAUUGUAAAUAUGUCUAGUGAAUGAAAUUAGGCAGAAUAUUGCUGUACUUUUCUGAUAGUGACAAACUCGCAUUUUAAGUUGAGACUUUAUUAAACACGAGUCCAAACUGCUCAAAUGGUGACAUAUGGUGUAUCUUUGUGUUUAAAAUUAGUGGCCUAUCUGAGUUAAGCACAUUUCUAACAUCUAUUGAUCCCACAGUUUCCAAUAUAUAUAUAUAUAUAUAGUAUAGCAGCCAUCCAACAAUGCUAAAGAAAUGUGGAGCAAACAUUUAGGAGAAUGCACAGUGACUCUCUGUUAAGGGUACAGUGAAGAAAUUGUGUGUUUAGUUUCUAAAAAAGAAAAACAUAUGUAGGAUACUGUAAAUCACAGAAGUUGGUAAUUUGUAGAAAAGCUUUGAAGAAUCUGUCACUCUAUAACCAUAUCACUUACCAUUAAAGUAAAAGUAACUCAAACAGUGGACUUAUGUUUUAAAGUCUGUGAUACAAUCAUAAAAGUCAGUAAAAAUAAUUUCAACCUUCGAUAAGUAUGUGAUACUGAAUAUUCCAUUUUAUUCCAGCUUUAUAUGAAAAUUACUUGAAAUGUAGUUUGAAAUGCUGGUGAAAAAUAAACCUUUAUUAAACUGAAAA